rnacentral:rRNA from 1 species
GACGAACGCUGGCGGCGUGCUUAACACAUGCAAGUCGAACGGUGAAGCGCCUUCCUUUUUGGUGGGUGUGGAUGAGUGGCGAACGGGUGAGUAACACGUGAGUAACCUGCCCCCUUCUUCUGGAUAACCGCAUGAAAGUGUGGCUAAUACGGGAUAUUCUGGGUCUGUCGCAUGAUGGGUCUGGGAAAGAUAUUGUUUCGGUGGGGGAUGGGCUCGCGGCCUAUCAGCUUGUUGGUGGGGUGAUGGCCUACCAAGGCGGUGACGGGUAGCCGGCCUGAGAGGGUGGACGGUCACAAUGGGACUGAGACACGGCCAAGACUCCUACGGGAGGCAGCAGUGGGGAAUAUUGCACAAUGGGCGCAAGCCUGAUGCAGCGACGCCGCGUGAGGGAUGGAGGCCUUCGGGUUGUGAACCUCUUUCGCCAGUGAAGCAGGCCUGCCUCGUUUGUGGGUGGGUUGACGGUAGCUGGAUAAGAAGCGCCGGCUAACUACGUG